UUUGGAGCUUGGUUUACGUCUCUUAAUAGAAGUCCGAGGGUGGGCGGAGGGACGGGUGUGUGGAGCUGCACCUGCGCUUAGUUGGAAACCUGUUGCCGUUGCAGUUGGAAGCCGAGGAGGACACUACUCUGUUCCCAGAAACGCAGCUACAACGUGGACGGCUGCUGUAAAUUCUAGACUGGUGCAAAGCCCCUCCUCCUCUCUUUUCCUUGUUCUUGAUCCAGCUCCCAGAAUGAGGGGAUGGCUCCUGAGACGUUGGAAAGAAAUCACAAGACAAAGAGCCUGAUGCACACCUACUUUCUGAGAACCUAGAGGUUUCCUCCUCUAGGUUAGUGUACCUUUUGCCUCACGCCUGUUCCCCUACAAGUAACAGUUCACCUGACUCUUCAUUCCCUUUCAUUCUCCUCAUGGACUCAGGUAGCAAAUGAAUUUCAUUACUAUAAGGGAGUUAGGGGGAUAAUCCGAUAGCUUGGUACUUUGUCCCUUCUUUCCAAUGCGGCAUGCCCACGAAUCAGGAUGAGAUCGACUCCUUUAAGGCUGCUUUUCCUCAAAAUUAGGUAUAGGUCCCUGAUACUUGAAGGUAGCUCUAAUCAACAACAACCCCCUCUCCUUUCCCUGCCUUUCUUGCUCUCUCGCUCUCUCUUUCUCCCAGUAAUUAUUUACUUGGUUGUAUUCCACCAAAUUGUAUUUUUUUUCUACAUACGUGGUGCUAGCAUGUGCAUAUGCAGAUUCCCUGGAGGAAAGUGUUUUCCUUUCCACAAGGUGUCCCCCUGAGGCUAGGGACAUAAAGAUACCUGUGUGUAAGAUUACACACAUGGAGUCUGAAUCUUUUGCACAUAGAAGGUGACAAGUGCACAUGAAUGGAGUCAUCACCCCAGGGAAGCCAGUGGUCCUUGAGGAGGAGUUUUGAUCUGGAAUGAUGUCCAUCAGCAGGAGUAAAAGUGGAAGGGCCUUCCAACCCUGGAGAGUGAAAUACAAGGAACAGGUGGAAAGGAGGAGCUUGUGGAUCCCCAAAGAAUAUCCACUUGGUUAUCUUGUUGAUCAGUAGCAGUCUGAGACUCCCGGGAGGCCUGAGAGUCUGUAUCUGUUUUGUUUUGUUGUUGUUUUUUGGUCAGGGGCCCAAUCCUAAUAAACCUUCCUUUUCAAUCUGA